CAAUUAUCUAUAGAAAUAUUGAAUACACGUCUAAAGAGGUUCUAAUUUCAUUGGAUAGGUCACUGAUUAGGUCAUAUUUGGAAUAUUGUGUUCAGU